GCAGUGUAAAUAUAAAUGGAAAUCUAAUUACUUUAUUAUUGGUUCUUCUCUGUUGUAGUCAAUAACUCUAGUUUAUUUUGGUCAAAAAGUGGCUCAGAACUUUGAACAUCAUGAUAUGAAAUGGAAUGCUUUUAGACAAAAUACUGGAAAACUUUUCAAUGAACGAUAUAUUGCAAAAGGAAUAUAAAGAUAAAAUGAAUAUAAAAGUUCAACCAGAAAAAUAAUUGCACAUUAAAAUAUUUAAGAAUAUUACAAAGAAAGAAGUAGCUGCCUACUCAAUGUUAUUAAGAAGAAUUAUAUAACAUAGCAUGAACUUGGAAAUAUGCUGAUGUAAAGCUAAGAGGGAACAUAAGUCCAUGCAUUAACACUUAUGCUUUGAUUUAGAGGAUACAGGGAAAGAACACUUGUAAUAAACUCCCCAAAAUAGAAGAGCAAAAAGAAUAGCAUGGAAGAACAGUUAGAGGUGCUUGUAAUAGGCAGCGUCUGUCUUCUGAGUCAGGGCUUUGCAUCUUCACUCUGCUAUUCAACCGGCUGUGUGACCUUGGGGAGUAGUACCUAACCUCGAAAGGAUGAACACGUAUGUGUAUGUGUAACAUGUUUUCACUGCAAUGAUACAUAAUAUGUCCAUUCAUCUAAUCAUAAAUAUGUAUAUUAUCUUUUACAGAUAAUAUAUUAUUAUGGCAAAAAAAUGGGCAGAGAACAUAAGUGUGACAACAGUAACAGUGUCCAAAAGAGUUUUAUUUUAAGCCUACAGGUUUUGAAUUUCAGAGGAAAUAGAAAAGAUCCUUCCUACCAUACCGUAAUUAAGAAAGUUGUUAAUUAUGAUUCCUUUUCAUUCCUAUACAGUUUAGAGGGGGAGACAUUCAGAGUUUUUAUUGACUAUAUCUACAUCUGCCUUCUUGGCAGUCAGUUUUUCCACUAAUUUCCUCAAAAUACUGCCAAGUAUUUAGUUCAUUAUCCUGACAGUGUUGUGGUUGAUGAUGUUCGUGCCUACUAUGUGGCCCCAUUCUCCCUUCGUAAUGGAACCCCACGUGUGAUCAUAUGGCUACCCCUUCUUCUCUCAGCUCCUGUACUGCAGGAGAGGCUGAUUUCUCCCCCAGCUCCAGGGCUUGGCCUGAUUGGUCUAAGAAAAGAGGUGAAUUCCAGUGAUUAUUUGCCAAGAGAAGGAUUCACUGCUGAGAGCUGAGUUCAGAUGUUACCUCCUCUGAGAAGGCUGUAUAGAUUCUCCUGAAGCCAUUCAGUCCCGCUAAUGCCCUCAUCCUACAGCUGCAGCAUAGCAUUAACCUCACUUUAUUCUGUUUGACCUUUUAGGUAACUAUCUUCUCACUAGCCUAUAUCCUCAAGAGUAGACCCCCAGUUUUACAAAAUUUUGGACCUCAGUUCCUAGCACAAGAUCUAACAUAGGGACAAUCAGUAAAAAUUUCUUGCACCCUAAGUUAAAUUAAGGUCUUCUAGGGAAUGUGCCUAGUUUCUGCCAUUUACCUAAAAGUCUGGAGACAGUUACCUUUCACCUCCUCUAUGUAAUGCAAAUGUUUGCAGUUCACAGUGGUUAAUAAAUUGCAUUUUGAAGUUUGACCAUCUGCAUUCAAAUUCCAGCUCCACUGCCAAGCAACCUUGACGAAAUUACUUAAUAUCUCCAAGUUUCAAUUUCUUCAGCUAUAAAGUUGGUGCAAUAAUAGAACCUACUUCAUGGGGGCUUGAUGAGGAUCCAGUAAAAAAGUGAAAAAAUUUUAUAAAACUCUUAGUAAAAUGUCUGGUUUGUAACACACAUUUCCAUCUUUAUAUACAUGGUUUUAACAUUAGCUGUUAUUAUUACUGUUGUAUUAUUAGCUACUUAAAUAUUUUACCUUCAUUGUGAUUAGAUUUACAUUUCAAGUAAUAAUGAGUUUGCUAUACAAAUGAAAGAUAUUGAUUUACAGUAGCUUUGGAAAAAUUCCAGGUAGAAUAUUCCAGGUAAACAAGAAGCAUUCAUGCCAGGAUUGUACUUUUACUGUUCAUAUGCCAUCUUUUUUGCAGGAAAGUAAGGUUAAAUCUCUAGCAGUCUUCGACCCAUCAUUUGAAUUCAUUGGUGGCUUAUCUUCAGGAUAGCAGCAUGUGAAUGUCUUACUACAUAAACUCUAGAAUUCAAAUAAACAGUUGAUUGUGAUGGAGAAAAAAUGUGAAUAGUAUUUUACUGUGUAUUCAAAAUGCUGCAAACAUCCCCAUAUUUCCAUGCAUAAUGUAUUAUUGUAGAUAAGUUUGGAUUAUGAAAGAUUUAGAAAAUGGACCAUUCACUAAAAAUGCUGAUUACUUUGUAUUGUUCAGCUAACUCCUUAUUUUUUCUUCCCAAUUCCACCUAAAAAUUUUUAAGUAUGGUGGGAAUAUGUGUAGGUAUGUGAUUACCAGAGGAAAAUUUAUUUAUAUGUUUAACAAUGCUUCUAGGGGAAAAAGUCCCCAAAUAUGCCAAGUUUAUUAGAAUUCCAAAGAAUCUCAUGUGACUAUGUUUAUGGUGGUUCUUUAAUAUUAGUUCUUUGAAAUAAUCAGGUUGAAAAUAUUUUGUUGGAACUAAUAGAGACUGUUAAAAACUAAACUGUUAUUUUUGGUUGGACUACAGAAAAAUUGAACUUAUUUUGGAAAUGGACCAUUAAACUCUAUUCUUUGUAAACUUCAUGUGUAGGAAAGAAAAAACAAAUAUAAGAUAAACUUGCAGAUUCAAGCAUGCCAUUUGCAAGAGAGAAAGCAACUAGAAGCCAGCAACAGUCUCCUCAGAGAUGCUCUAAAUUUGGUCUGAAUUUCAUGAGCUUUUGUAUGCACUUACAUAUUGCCAUGAACUUGGGAGUCUUUCUCUGAAUGCUAGAGACUGUGUGUGAAAUGUUUAAUUCAUUUUUAAUCAGUACUCCCACCUGCCUUAAUGGGGUUGCGUGUACUAUCUCUACUAUUUUAAUUUUACACCUUAAAAUUCUUUCCCAAAUUAAAAAAAGAAAAAAAAUCAAGCCUUUUGUGUGUCAGCAGUACCUAAAAUAAUUGGUCUUUUUUCAACAUGUUAAGGAAAGGAGGAUAAGGAGAGAAAGAAGGGAAAGCAGUGCAUUUGUUCACAUAAGGAAGUGAGGCAGGAGUAGCAAUUCAUAGACUCAGUAAAGAUAAAAAUCUUUUUAAUAUUUAAUUACGUUACCCUCCACCCACUCUACAUGUUGAUUUUUGAAGCACAAAAUGAAGUCUAUUAUACUAGUCCCCCUUUGUGUACGGGGGAUGUGUUCCAAGACCCCCUAGGAAUGCCUGAAACCACAGGUAGUACUGAACCCUAUAUAUACUAUAUUUUCCUACAAGUGCCUACCUAUGGUAAAGUUUAACUGUAAAUUAGACACAAUAAGAGAUUAACAACAAUAACUGAUAAUAAAAUAGAACAAUUAUAACAACAUCCUGUAAGAAAAAAUUAUUUGAAUGUGGUCUCUCUCAAAAUAUUGUAUUAUACUGUACUCACCUUCCUUCCUGUGAUAAUGCUAGGUGAUAGAAUGCCUACGUUGAAGAGAGGAAGUAAGGUGAAUGACUUGGGCUGCUGUUGACCUUCUGGCAGUAUGUCAGAAGGAGGAUUAUCUGCUUCCCAGCUGCAGCUGACCACAGAAUACUGUCAGUCUCUAAAUGACACUGGAACAUCACUGAUUAUCACCCUUUAAAGAUGCCUUAAAACUACAGAACUACUGAGAGAGAGAAGAAUAUUUGCAAAGAACAACAGUGCAAUGGGAAAAUUAGAGGCUUACCCAUGAAGACUAAGGAUUCUCAAAAUAGGCUCCUCAAAACUGUGGGGAACCCCGAGGCCCUGUCAGAGAGAUAUGCAAGGUCAAAAAUAUUUUCACAUGAACACUACGUUGUUAUUUGUUUCUUUUCAUUGUGUUGACAUUGCAUACGUGGUGCAGAAGCAACAGCUGAUUCAUGCUGGAGCUUUAGAAUGAAUCAAGGCAGUAACACAAAAUACACUAGCAGCCACUGUGUUCUUCAACAGCAUACACUCAUAGAAAAAAAAAAGGCAGUUUCACUUAAGAAUACUCUUGAUUAAGCAGUAAAAAGUAUUGAUUUUGUUAAAUCUCACCCCCUGGGUACACAUUUAGAAUAAUACUCUGUGAGGUGAAAUGGGAAAUACACACCCAACACUUCUGCUGCAUAAUGAAGUAUGACAGUUGUCUGGAGGAAAAUCUACUGUUUUGCGUUGCAAGCUGAGCUGGCUGCUUUUUCAUUAAACACCCUUUAUACUUGAGAGAAAAACUUGACAAACUAUAAUUAUCCAUACUUAGAUAUUUGUCAGGCAUUUUCUCAAAAGUGAGUGAAGUGAGCUUGUUACUUUCAGGAUACAACUGACAGUAUUGUUGCCAGCGAUAAAAAUCAAGCUUUUGAGUAAAAAUUAGAAUGUUGUAAACCUUUUAUUUGCCACUAUGAGCUUGAGAGCUCUCCAGUAUUUAACUAAUUUUUUGAUGAGUCUGGUGGUUAUUGACAAAUGUAAUUUUUAAAUACUAUGUAAUAAAAUAAAAUGUGUCAACUUUCAGACAAUCUACAUUACCCAGUGAACCAUUGUUUUCCAAAUGCCCAAUGAUGUCACAAAAUCAUGCAUCAGUAAAAUGUCCAUUCAAAGUGCAAGCUAGACUUCUUUAAUAUCACAGGGUAAGAAAAGUUUAUUGAUGUGGUUUUAGAUCCACACUGCAAAAAUUCUUAAAGAAACUACCGCUUGUUGAGUUUUGGUAUAAUACCAAAGAAGAAUAUUCACAAGCUAUUAAAAUACUCCUUCCUUUUUCAACGAUGUAACUAUGUGAGAUUAGAUUUUCCUCAUCUGUUUCAAACAAAAUGAUUUAUGGCAACAGAUUGAAUGGGGAAGCAGAUAAGAGAAUCCAUAUGAAUUCUCUUAAACCAGAUGUUGUUAAAGAGAUUAAUUAGUAUGGUAUAAAAUAAUGCCACUCUUCCCACUCAACUUAUUAUUUUGUAAAUAUAGUGGUUUUUUUCAUAAAAAUAUGUAAUUAUGUUAUAUAAUAGGUUUAUUAUUUUUAAAUGAAUAGCUAUUUCUAAGUUUUCUUAGUUUUAUUUUUCUAAUUAUUAGAUAUACUAAUAAACAUAACCCACAUAACUGAAAGAUCUUUGGGGUCCUUAAUAACUUUUAAGAGUGUGAAUGGGUUGAGAACAAGUUUGCUAUUCAUUGCUACAAACCAGAGUAAUAGUAUUUAAUACUCUGACAUUUCUUUUUUUUCCUACUUGAUGUCAUUUGACUAUCCCUUAUCAUUUUCUCCAAUGAAAACUGUAGUUUGAUUAUCUUAAUUAUCUUGUUAAAAUGGUAUAAGUUUUUUCACAGCAGUAGAAUUCUUAUCUUUUAAGUGAGACAUUGGUUGAAUUUCUAAUCAGUCAAUGGCCAUGUUCUCUUUACAGUGUUCUAGUGUAGUGCUUAAUAUAUAUAGUACAGAAACUCAAUACCUGUUAUUGACUGGCACAUAACGUGGUUAACAACGAAGUCAAUAUAAGUGCCAAAAACAUACGAAAGCUAGAGGGGGAUAAAAAGCUCUGUUUAUUGCUUUAUCCAUUUGUAAGCAUAAUUCCUGGAUUUAAUCCAUUCCCACAGAAAGCUCACAUAGUUUUUGUCUCUAUUAACAUUUAAACACAAACAUCCUCUUCUAGCUAAAGAUCUGUUUCUCUGGGAGACCAUAAUAAUCAUCACAUACAUUAUAUAUCUUGAAUUAAUGCAAGGCUUUUCUCAUGACAUUUGGGCACAUAGAUCACAAUAAGCUUCUACCUUUCUUUCCUCCCAAUACCUCACAACCAACUCAUUUCCAUUACAUCCUCUAAAUUUCUCACAAAAUGGAAAGUUAAAAAACAGAACUGCAACCAGUCAUUAAUGGCUCACAGACUGAAUAGGUACAGAAGGAAAGUAGUUUCUUAUUGUGGGGUCAAACCUUCUUUUAAAAGUUAUGAAAUCCUUGAGAUCUUAAUAAAAUACCUUACCACAUAUCUGAGAGUAUUUUUAGUCUCAAUGUUUCAAGGCAAAUAACUUAAAAAUGCAAAUUCUAAGCAAUGUAAAAUGCAGUAAAUAAAUGCACAGAACCAUUUUUAUUUAUAAUUUGUUUCUAUAGU